rnacentral:lncRNA from 1 species
AGAGUGCGGAAGUCUGGGGCGAGGGAGCUCCUUCCCGGAGCCCAGCAGCCUCCUUCUUCGACCCCGGGUGUUGUGCCGAUGUAACCCCUCAAAUCCCCGUCUUUGCCGGGCCAGGGAGAAUAUUAAACCCUGGAAAGCUCGUCCCACCUCACCUCCUUUCCCAUUACAUAGGUGAAGAAAAGCGGGGCGGGGCAGUGGCUUACGUAUGGUACUAAGGACAGAGCGUCCGACCCCCGUGCAGCCGAGCCGGGACCAGAGUUGAGGUACUCCCCUCGGGUUCAGAAUUUAAGGGGGCUCCAAAACACUCAGUAAUCAAGAUAAAUAUAAUACUGCAACGUUUUAAAAGGUCAAAAGUAAUGCAAAAAGUCUAUGAUCAAAAUGUUUUUAAAAAUAAGGACAGGAUCCGUAGUCACAGCUGACCCAAUAAGCCUAACCCCUCUUCCUUUUCCCCAUGGGCCCUCUUGUCAAAUAUUACUUCCUUGGAGAAGCCUUUUCUCUGACCCGUCCCCUCCCAAGUUCCAAGGAGUUAAAGGCCUCUCAUUCCACAGCAUCUGACCUUAUCCCAUCAUGACUUACUACACUGGUUGUCGUUUUUAAUGAGAUUUUAAAUUCAAUAAUAACAUACAGAAAAGUGCACAAAUCAUGAGUGUACAACUUGACAAUAUAUCACAAGGUGUAACCAUAUAACCACCACCCAGAUCAAGAAAUAAAACAUGGCCAGUAUCCCAGGAGUCCUCUGUGCCCUUACUGGUCACUUCCCCUCCCUCCCACUGGUAAGUAAAUGCUGUCUGCUUUCUAAUAGGUCACUGUGUUUUAUGCCUGUCCCACUAGACCAGGAGUAGGCAAACUAUAGCUUGCAGGCCAAAUACUGUCCACCAGCAUGUUUUGGAUGACCAACAAGAAUGGCUUUUACUGUUUUUGUUUUUUUGGAGGUUUUGGGGUUUUUGUUUUUGGUUUUGAUUUUGUUUUUUGAGACAGGGUCCUGCUCUGUCACCCAGGCUGGAGUGCAGUGGUGCUCACUGCAACCUCUGCUUCCUGGCUUGGCUCAAGCGAGCCUCAGGCCUCAGCCUCCGGAGUAGCUGGGACCACAGGUGCCUGCCACCACGCCUGGUUCAUUUUUGCAUUUUUUGUGGAGAUGGGGUUUUGCCAUGUCACCCAGGCUGGUCUCGAACUCCUGAACUCAAAGCGAUCCUCCCACCUCGGCCUUCCAAAGUGCCAGGAUUACAGGAGUGAGCCACCACACCCAGCUUGUUUUUAUAUUUUUAAUGGUAAAAAACAACAUUUUGUGACACGUAAAAAUUACAUGAAAUUCAGACUUCAGUUUGAAUAAAACUUUAUUGGAAGACAUCCAUGCUUACUUCUUUACAUAUUGUCUAUGGCUAUAUUUGUGCUUUGAUGGCACAAUUGAGUAGUUGUAACAGAGAUCAUAUGGUUCGCAAAGCCCCAGAUAUUUACUAUCUGGUCCUUUACAGAGUUUGACCACCCCUGCACUACAUUAUAAGCUCCAUGAGGAUGGGGACCCAGUCUCAGCUCUUAUACCCCCAGGGCUUCACACACUGGCUAGCACAUAAUGGAAGUUCGUACAAUCGAAAAAGUUCUGUAGGGCUCCCCAUCUAGAGGCAGUAUAUCUGGUGGUGGAGGAUGGAUUCUAGAGUCAGACAACAUUGGGUCUGAAUCCCUCUUCCUCCACUUACUAGCUAUAUGACAUUGAGAAAUUUAAUCUCUCCAGGACUUUUUUUCACUGUCUGUAACAUUUGGGGGAAAUAUGAAUAGUGGCAAUUUGUUGUAGACAUUAAAAUCAGAUGAUGAGGUCAAGACAACUUCCAUAAAUGCUAGAUAAACAUUAGCUAUUAUUAUCAUCAUCCAUAUGUAUUAUGACCUCCCAUAUGUCUCUGUAGAUUAGACCUUAAGUCUCUGCAGAGAUCUGGAUAUACUUCAUUCACUCCUGUCACCUCCCUCACCUCUCAGGCCUCAGAAAUUCCCAGCCCACAUCCUAAGUGAAACAGAAAAUGGAGCCUCAAAGCAAUCGAGUGACUUGUUCCCAUGAUACCCAUGGUACAGCCAGAUCUGGCACCAGUGCCUUCAGCUGCUGCCCAUACCCCAGUCAGGUCCAGAUCAAUAACAAUGAGUCAUUGGUUAUGUAUUUGGAUGGUUUUAAUCAUGAGCCAGGACUGUGCAACUGGGGCCUUUUCUGCCACUGCGUUUCUCAAAUGGAGAAUUAGCAGUUUGAUUAAUUACACCCCUAGAUCUCAAGGCCAUUUCUAAGCUGCUAAUGCAUUUCCAAG